rnacentral:rRNA from 2 species
AAAUUGAAGAGUUUGAUCAUGGCUCAGAUUGAACGCUGGCGGCAGGCCUAACACAUGCAAGUCGAACGGUAACAGGAAGCAGCUUGCUGCUUUGCUGACGAGUGGCGGACGGGUGAGUAAUGUCUGGGAAACUGCCUGAUGGAGGGGGAUAACUACUGGAAACGGUGGCUAAUACCGCAUAACGUCGCAAGACCAAAGAGGGGGACCUUCGGGCCUCUUGCCAUCAGAUGUGCCCAGAUGGGAUUAGCUUGUUGGUGAGGUAACGGCUCACCAAGGCGACGAUCCCUAGCUGGUCUGAGAGGAUGACCAGCCACACUGGAACUGAGACACGGUCCAGACUCCUACGGGAGGCAGCAGUGGGGAAUAUUGCACAAUGGGCGCAAGCCUGAUGCAGCCAUGCCGCGUGUAUGAAGAAGGCCUUCGGGUUGUAAAGUACUUUCAGCGGGGAGGAAGGUGUUGUGGUUAAUAACCGCAGCAAUUGACGUUACCCGCAGAAGAAGCACCGGCUAACUCCGUGCCAGCAGCCGCGGUAAUACGGAGGGUGCAAGCGUUAAUCGGAAUUACUGGGCGUAAAGCGCACGCAGGCGGUCUGUCAAGUCGGAUGUGAAAUCCCCGGGCUCAACCUGGGAACUGCAUUCGAAACUGGCAGGCUUGAGUCUUGUAGAGGGGGGUAGAAUUCCAGGUGUAGCGGUGAAAUGCGUAGAGAUCUGGAGGAAUACCGGUGGCGAAGGCGGCCCCCUGGACAAAGACUGACGCUCAGGUGCGAAAGCGUGGGGAGCAAACAGGAUUAGAUACCCUGGUAGUCCACGCCGUAAACGAUGUCUACUUGGAGGUUGUGCCCUUGAGGCGUGGCUUCCGGAGCUAACGCGUUAAGUAGACCGCCUGGGGAGUACGGCCGCAAGGUUAAAACUCAAAUGAAUUGACGGGGGCCCGCACAAGCGGUGGAGCAUGUGGUUUAAUUCGAUGCAACGCGAAGAACCUUACCUGGUCUUGACAUCCACAGAAGAAUCCAGAGAUGGAUUGGUGCCUUCGGGAACUGUGAGACAGGUGCUGCAUGGCUGUCGUCAGCUCGUGUUGUGAAAUGUUGGGUUAAGUCCCGCAACGAGCGCAACCCUUAUCCUUUGUUGCCAGCGAUUAGGUCGGGAACUCAAAGGAGACUGCCAGUGAUAAACUGGAGGAAGGUGGGGAUGACGUCAAGUCAUCAUGGCCCUUACGACCAGGGCUACACACGUGCUACAAUGGCGCAUACAAAGAGAAGCGACCUCGCGAGAGCAAGCGGACCUCAUAAAGUGCGUCGUAGUCCGGAUUGGAGUCUGCAACUCGACUCCAUGAAGUCGGAAUCGCUAGUAAUCGUGGAUCAGAAUGCCACGGUGAAUACGUUCCCGGGCCUUGUACACACCGCCCGUCACACCAUGGGAGUGGGUUGCAAAAGAAGUAGGUAGCUUAACCUUCGGGAGGGCGCUUACCACUUUGUGAUUCAUGACUGGGGUGAAGUCGUAACAAGGUAACCGUAGGGGAACCUGCGGUUGGAUCACCUCCUUA